GCGGGUGUGGUGGAAUUGGUAGACACGCUAGACUUAGGAUCUAGUGCCGCAAGGUGUGAGAGUUCGAGUCUCUUUGCCCGUACAA
rnacentral:tRNA from 1 species